UUUUUUUUUUUUUUUUUUUUUUUUGAGGACUCAAGAAACGAGUAUCACGAAAAUGUUUCAUCGCCGUAAUUUUCUUUCACCAUUUUAUUAACCUACUUUGAUUUCCAAGUGUCAACUUUUAGUGCAAAUUUCAUAAAUAAACACGAGAGCGAUAGUUAAAAAACAUUUUGACAUGGAUAUUUUAGAUUUUCGUCAACCCGACGACGAGGUAUCCCGCUUUUAAGUUUUAGCAUAGAGAGAGCAGUGGAGUAUCAUUUGUGCGGUGACACUGCACGCGGCGUUUGAAUAGUAUUUUGCGCCUACAAAAACUUAAAAGUGUGUGUCUCGUCAACGGGUUGACGGAAAUCAAAUAUUUCAACACCAAAAUGACGUAUUCAAAUUCAUUUUCCGUCUAUUGAUGGCAUUUUUAGUAUAAGUUACCGUUUGAGGAUUUACCUCCGAAAAUAAGGGUGAUAAAAACUAAUGACAAUGUGAUUUUUUAGAGCUACUUGUUUCUUAAAUUGUUAAAAAAAAAAAAUACGAAAAAAGUUAAUACUUUCGAAGAUCGAAGAUCUUCGUGGGACAUCCUGUACCUAUAUAUAAUAUAUUAUAUACUUUUUCAAUUUGUGCGUUCUUGACGUGUAAACUGUUUUUUUUUUGUUUUUGUUUUUUCAUUAUCUACGCUACGCAGCGUUGACGUAGGUACGAUAAAU